CAGGCUGCCUACCCCUGCUGCUGGAGCCUUGGUGCUGGGAAGAGACAGGCUGCCUACCCCUGCUGCUGGAGCCUUGGUGCUGGGAAGAGACAGGCUGCCUACCCCUGCUGCUGGAGCCUUGGUGCUGGGAAGAGACAGGCUGCCUACCCCUGCUGCUGGAGUCUUGGUGCUGGGAAGAGACAGGCUGCCUACCCCUGCUGCUGGAGCCUUGGUGCUGGGAAGAGACAGGCUGCCUACCCCUGCUGCUGGAGCCUUGGUGCUGGGAAGAGACAGGCUGCCUACCCCUGCUGCUGGAGCCUUGGUGCUGGGAAGAGACAGGCUGCCUACCCCUGCUGCUGGAGCCUUGGUGCUGGGAAGAGACAGGCUGCCUACCCCUGCUGCAGGAGCCUUGGUGCUGGGAAGAGACAGGCUGCCUACCCCUGCUGCUGGAGCCUUGGUGCUGGGAAGAGACAGGCUGCCAUGUAGAUGUAGGCCUCAUGCAUGAGAGCCUGGUUUGCCCUGCUCUUGCCUGGACCCAGACGCUGGCUGGGAUGCUAAAAGGGACUGACCAGGGGAAAAACCUCCUCACAGGCCUGGAUCAUUAGAGGUGCUGGCUGUGCGUUGGAGGAGCACGGCAUGCCAAGGGUCUAGCAUGUUUUAAACUAGGAGCUGCCUUCUCCACAGCCGUCAGAUCACUCUGCUACUGCGGAUGCUCACUACAGGCAUUUCAUGGAUAUAAAUCUAUUUGUUGGUGUGUGUGCACUUUGACUCGGCAGGAUUAAAAUGUGCGUCUGUGAGAAACAGUCCCCUGUGAGUAGUUCCCGUUAAGCUUUCUAAAAAGAGUAAAAGUCACUUCUGAAAAUGACAUUUGUUCUGCUGCAUGUUUUAAGCCAGCUGUCGCAUAUGUUGAAACUAAUGUGACUAUGACGACGGCAGCACAUUCACAACAAUGGUGGAAUAGAGAGACACUGAAAUGACAAAUCAAUCAAUAGUUGGGUAGGACUUUCAUUCCUCUCGACUUUUGAUUCCUUUCCUUCAAUCGUUACCUCAUCCAAAAGGGUGUGCACUUUUUCCCCGGGUUAUUUUAUUGUUUGUAGGAAAGAAUAAAUCGUAGCUAUUGCUCACAAAAUAUAGGCCAUGAAGGAAGGGGUUAAAACAGCCUUUAGUGAAACUCCCACAUUCCAUACAGGCCUACAUGUUGUCUCUACCUGCUCGGGAGGCACCGUGGCUGUGUGUGUUGGGUGGGGGGGGCUUCUGUGGAUGGGUGCAUUUAGCACAAACGCUGUCUGUUUGCAUGUGUUGAUUGAAUGUCAAAGAGGACGGUGUGUUUUCUGUGUGUUGAUGAACAGUCAGACUACGUGUGUGUGUGUGUGUGUGUGUGGUCGCUCCUCUCUCACCAGGUUCUCCUGGUUGCGUGCGUUCACCCGGUCCUCCUCUCCACGCAUGUACUUCACCUCCUCCACUCCCUUCA
rnacentral:lncRNA from 1 species